rnacentral:rRNA from 1 species
UACAGAGGUCUCAAGCGUUGUUCGGAUUCAUUGGGCGUAAAGGGCGCGUAGGCGGCGGGGUAAGUCUGGUGUGAAAUCUAGGAGCUCAACUCCUAAACUGCACUGGAUACUGCUCUGCUAGAGGACUGGAGAGGAGACUGGAAUUCACGGUGUAGCAGUGAAAUGCGUAGAUAUCGUGAGGAACACCAGUGGCGAAGGCGGCGAUCUGGGUCGAUACUGACGCUGAGGUGCGAAAGCGUGGGGAGCGAUCCGG